rnacentral:rRNA from 1 species
GAACGCUGGCGGAAUGCUUUACACAUGCAAGUCGAACGGUAGAGGGGGCAACCCCUUGAGAGUGGCGAACGGGUGAGUAAUGUAUCGGAACGUGCCCAGUCGUGGGGGAUAACGUAGUGAAAAUUACGCUAAUACCGCAUACGAUCUAUGGAUGAAAGCGGGGGAUCGCAAGACCUCGCGCGAUUGGAGCGGCCGAUAUCAGAUUAGGUAGUUGGUGGGGUAAAGGCUCACCAAGCCAACGAUCUGUAGCUGGUCUGAGAGGACGACCAGCCACACUGGAACUGAGACACGGUCCAGACUCCUACGGGAGGCAGCAGUGGGGAAUUUUGGACAAUGGACGCAAGUCUGAUCCAGCCAUUCCGCGUGCAGGACGAAGGCCUUCGGGUUGUAAACUGCUUUUGUACGGAACGAAAAAGCUCUUAUUAAUACUAGGAGUCCAUGACGGUACCGUAAGAAUAAGCACCGGCUAACUACGUGCCAGCAGCCGCGGUAAUACGUAGGGUGCAAGCGUUAAUCGGAAUUACUGGGCGUAAAGCGUGCGCAGGCGGUUAUAUAAGACAGAUGUGAAAUCCCCGAGCUUAACUUGGGAACUGCAUUUGUGACUGUAUAGCUAGAGUACGGCAGAGGGGGAUGGAAUUCCGCGUGUAGCAGUGAAAUGCGUAGAUAUGCGGAGGAACACCGAUGGCGAAGGCAAUCCCCUGGGCCUGUACUGACGCUCAUGCACGAAAGCGUGGGGAGCAAACAGGAUUAGAUACCCUGGUAGUCCACGCCCUAAACGAUGUCAACUGGUUGUUGGGUCUUCACUGACUCAGUAACGAAGCUAACGCGUGAAGUUGACCGCCUGGGGAGUACGGCCGCAAGGUUGAAACUCAAGGAAUUGACGGGGACCCGCACAAGCGGUGGAUGAUGUGGUUUAAUUCGAUGCAACGCGAAAA